rnacentral:tRNA from 1 species
UGCCGGGUGGCGAAAUUGGUAGACGCACCGUCUUCAGGUGGCGGCGUUCGAAAGGAUGUGCUGGUUCGAAUCCAGUCCCGGCAC